UACGUAGGGCGCAAGCGUUUGUCCGGAAUUAUUGGGCGUAAAGAGCUCGUAGGCGGUUUGUCGCGUCUGCUGUGAAAACCUAAGGCUCAACCUUGGGCUUGCAGUGGGUACGGGCAGACUAGAGUGCGGUAGGGGUGACUGGAAUUCCUGGUGUAGCGGUGGAAUGCGCAGAUAUCAGGAGGAACACCGAUGGCGAAGGCAGGUCACUGGGCCGCAAC
rnacentral:rRNA from 1 species